GAUGAUCUCACUCAGGUGAGAUCUCACUCAGCAGCCAUUCCUUGGAGGCCAAGAGUCUAUGAUGUAUUGAUCCAACAGUCUGCAGCUUCCAACACCAUCGCCAUGAAUGACAAACAGAUAACACUUUAGGCAGAGGGAAAUGUAUCCAUGAAAUUAAAAGGAGCCCUGCUCAUCUCCUGGGUCAAAGAAAACUUGAACAUGACACAUUGCUGAAUUCCAGAUCCAACCCUUGGAGUCCAGACCACACUGGACAUGUCUGAAGCAGGACUGGUGUGGAUACAACUUUGUUGACUCUGUCAGCCCGAGCUGUGCCGCUGGAGCCACACUGGCUAGCCACGGCCAGGCUCACAAAGGGCCCUUGUAGCUCUGGGCCCAAGCCUCAAAGGCCCGUCUGUUACGUCUUCUGGACCAUUUUGAUGUGCCAUGUCAAUCCAGCUGCCAAGCCUGGCAAUCGGCUCCAAUCCCUCAUACAUUUCUUCUUCUUUUUGACGUCAUAACUGAGACAAAGGACACUUUCCACAGGUGACUGUAAACAAGUGUCUUGAGUGAAUGUGGCACCAAUACCAGAGAUGGAAAGACAUUCUUGUCCCUCUUCAAACCUGAUCAUUUUGAAGUUUAAAUGUCUCUUGUGACUUAAUGAACUAGAAAAGCAUAUGAUGACACUCCCCUAGACCUCCAGCCUCCAGCAUACGGCAUCCUCACCAAUUCUUAGCUGGACUACUGAAACUGUCCCUGAAGGUCUUCAUGGCCUCCAGUCCUGUUUCCUCCGAUUCAUCCUUCACUGCCACCAAAGUCAGCCUAAUAAACAUCAACAGAGACUCUCCUUGAAAACACUGGCUUUCACAAUUGCCUAUGGCUAAGUUCCAAACUCCACAGUAGGACUCUCAAAGACCCUCACCGGCUGGUCUCAGCUCCCCGUUCUAGCCCAUCUCUGCCACUGCUGGCUGCACCCUAACCUGCCAGUGGUACCAUGGCACAUCCCAGACCAAACCAGCAGCAUCCCCUCUGCACAGCACAUCCUGCUACCCCAUCUCUUCGCACACCUUCCCCACUGCUCUUCCUGGUCCUUUGAGACCCAACUUGGAUGUCACUUCCUCUGUGGGGUUGUCCCCAGUGCCUCCAGUUGUGAGUCAUACUAUCUCUCGGGUUCUGAGGACUCUGAGUCCUGUCCUCAAAGAGCCCACUACAUAGCAGUGAUGGGCUUGGGUGCUGGUUCUCCCAGGACAGUGCCGUAAG